AGAGUUUGAUCCUGGCUCAGAUUGAACGUUGGCGGCAGGCCUAACACAUGCAAGUCGAACGGUAACAGCAGGAGCUUGCUCCUGGCUGACGAGUGGCGGACGGGUGAGUAACGCGUAGGAAUCUACCCAGUAGCGGGGGACAACCCGAGGAAACUCGGGCUAAUACCGCAUAAGCUCUACGGAGGAAAGAAGCUCUAUUUAUAAGCUUUCACUAUUGGAGGAGCCUGCGUCGGAUUAGCUAGUUGGUGGGGUAAAGGCCCACCAAGGCAACGAUCCGUAGCUGGUCUGAGAGGACGACCAGCCACACUGGAACUGAGACACGGUCCAGACUCCUACGGGAGGCAGCAGUAGGGAAUCUUGGGCAAUGGGCGCAAGCCUGACCCAGCCAUGCCGCGUGUGUGAAGAAGGCCCUAGGGUUGUAAAGCACUUUCAGUGGUGAAGAAACGCUUGAGGCUAAUACCCUCUAGCUGUGACGUUACCAACAGAAUAAGCACCGGCUAACUCCGUGCCAGCAGCCGCGGUAAUACGGAGGGUGCAAGCGUUAAUCGGAAUUACUGGGCGUAAAGCGCGCGUAGGUGGUUGUGUAAGUGGAAUGUGAAAGCCCCUGGGCUCAACCUGGGAACUGCAUACCAAACUGCGCAACUAGAGUACGAUAGAGGGGGGUAGAAUUUCAGGUGUAGCGGUGAAAUGCGUAGAGAUCUGAAGGAAUACCGGUGGCGAAGGCGGCCCCCUGGAUUGAUACUGACACUGAGGUGCGAAAGCGUGGGUAGCAAAACAGGAUUAGAUACCCUGGUAGUCCACGCCGUAAACGAUGUCUACUAGCCGUUGGAAUCCUUAGAGGUUUUAGUGGCGCAGCUAACGCAAUAAGUAGACCGCCUGGGGAGUACGGCCGCAAGGCUAAAACUCAAAUGAAUUGACGGGGGCCCGCACAAGCGGUGGAGCAUGUGGUUUAAUUCGACGCAACGCGAAGAACCUUACCUGCUCUUGACAUCCUCGGAACUCGUCAGAGAUGACUUAGUGCCUUCGGGAACUGAGUGACAGGUGCUGCAUGGCUGUCGUCAGCUCGUGUCGUGAGAUGUUGGGUUAAGUCCCGUAACGAGCGCAACCCUUGUCCUUACUUGCCAGCGGGUAAUGCCGGGAACUUUAAGGAGACUGCCGGUGACAAACCGGAGGAAGGUGGGGAUGAGGUCAAGUCAUCAUGGCCCUCACGGGAUGGGCUACAAACGUGCUACAAUGGGGGGCACAAAGGGCUGCAAACUCGCGAGAGUAAGCGAAUCCCAAAAAACCCCUCGUAGUCCGGAUAGGAGUCUGCAACUCGACUCCUUGAAGUCGGAAUCGCUAGUAAUCGCGAAUCAGAAUGUCGCGGUGAAUACGUUCCCGGGCCUUGUACACACCGCCCGUCACGUCAUGGAAGUGGGUUGCACCAGAAGUAGCUAGUCUAACCUUAGGGAGGACGGUUACCACGGUGUGAUUCAUGACUGGGACGAAGUCGUAACAAGGUAACC
rnacentral:rRNA from 1 species